AAGCAAGCAAUGCAGUCAGUAAUUGCCAAAUUUACAAGCGCUAAUUUUCAACUGAAAUCGGAACAGGCAAAUUAGGACGAAUUUCAACAGAAAAGCAGUCUCAAACUUCAAAUCGUGAGGGAAGUCGUGCGAACACAUUAGCAUUUAAAUGUGUGCUUCGCUGUCGCCGUUGUUAUAAAUAAAUUGUCUCACUUAUCAGAUCGUGUGUGUAAUUCUUGUUGGCGGCGGAAAGUACGUCAUUUAUUUCAGUUAUUUCAUUUGGUAAAGAACUCUACAAAAGAAGAGAGGGUUCAGAGUCCAGAUCGUUUCGUUUCAAACGGCAUUUAAUACCGUCUUCUGUUUCGCUCUCUCAGCGAAGCCUUGCAAAUCGCAAAGUGUUUCGAAUAGGCUUACAUGGAACUGCCUCUAAAUCUUCACCACGAAAAGCGCUGUUUUCUUCAGUGCAAGAACAGAGUCAACAUCAAUCAAAAGAUAAUUUCUUGAGGAACAUAUAACGUAUCAAGUCUGUUUGAAAUCAAUGUAAACUCAAGUAAAGGUUUAUAAUACUAUAGUUUACCCCAGUCGUAAUGUUGCUAUUCCAACACUUCACGACAGCAAUCCCCCUUGGCAUAACGGCAAAAACAUCUCUUCAAGUAAACAAUAAACAGUCUGUUCUUGUUCCAUUUUUAAUCGAAAAAAGUGAUAAAUUUUCAAAUUUUAAGCUGAUCGAGAGCCUUUGUGAUGAAUCAGUGAUCUAAUUAUAGAAUCCAACAGCAAACAGCCAAUCAGAAUGCCGCGUUCUUGGGCGAACGCGGAAAGUACAAAAUACCGGGCCUUGCUUGCAGGCCCACUAUUCUUCACUUGGGCCUGCACGCGGGCUAAGGUUACGCUUGCUACAAAAGAUAGUUAAUAUGCAGUACAACGUUUCCUAAUGCUGCAUGCAAUAGCAGCUUUCUGGGCAUGGCGUUUCGGUAUAGCAAUUAGGAGUGCACCGGAUUUGGAAUUUUCAAAUCCGGCCGGAACCGGAUUUGGACAAAAAUUGCGGCCGGAAUUCCAGCCGGAUUUGCCGGAUUUGAGAUAAACCGGUAAUGGGGACAAUUGGGGAUAAAUCGGUAUUCAAAAUGGCGGUUUAUGUUUUUUACUAUUUUUAGUUAGUGUCAGUGUAGAUUUUUGAUUGUGUUUAAAGGUUUUUUAAAAUAUCUUUUUGUUAAUAACUUAAAAUUUUAUAAUAAUAUGUGUUUUUUAAACUUUAAAGCUGCUGAUUGAUGGUUUAUCCAAUUCUUGGUGAAUUUUUUAAGGUGAAAACAGAAAUUUAAGUCCGGCCGGAUUUUCUCCAAAUCCGGCCGGAUGCCGGAAAAUUCGUUAAAUCCGGUGCACCCCUAAUAGCAAUCGUAACAUAUACAUAUGCUAGUAGUCGCUAGCCUGCACUUUUUAUGUGUAUGUCAGUACAAUGCAAUUAACCAGCUGAUCAAUGCUAAAUACUAGCCAGUGUGAAAUAUAAAUAAUAAGCGGAUUUUGAAUAACAUAAUAUAUAUUUGAAAAAGCCAUAAUUUAAAUUAUUUUGAGAAAAGUUUGAAAACUUGAAAUUUUACCCGGGGGAAGGUGGAACACUCGUGUUUUUGCAACUCUGCGCGACAUUAGCUAAAAAAGUGUCAAUCACGAAAACGAGGCCCUGUCAGUGGUCAAGAUGACGUUCUUUCCGGAAGCGUGUAUUGGUACAGUAUAUGGAUUAAAAAGCAGAAUGUGAAAAUGUGCACCAGUAUAUAUCUGGAGUAAAGACUUUAGUCAUUAAUUGACGAUUCCCUUUAUUACGUUUUCGUAGCGCUUUGCAUUGGGGUUAUAGUGGUAUCAAUGAUAUUCAAGAUGGCUUAUUUUUUGUCCUGACCCAAAGCAAAAUAUUCGCGAAAACAUUCAAUAUUUUCAUUCGAGGCCGCUAUCUUUAUCAGUGAUACCACUAUAACCACAAUGCAAAGCGCUACGAAAACGUAAUAAGGGGAAUCAUCGAUCGAACCAUGAUCGAGUAAAGUGAAGCCAAGAUGGCGGAAAUUGACGUCCAAAAUCUAUAAGGUCGUAAAGAAUUUACGUAUCAUUUCUCCCAGCUAAUUCCAGUUUUUAAGUCGAAGUUUGAUACACUCCUUGCAGCCUCGUGUUAACCGUGCAGAGUUACACUGUAAAGUCCUAGCAGUGGACGUUCAUUUUCGCCAUUUUUGGCUUCACUUUUUGGACGCGAGUUUUUACUUCAGAUAUAUAUGGAUCUCUAAGAUGUGCACACUGUAUCUGAACCACUGAUCUUUACUAAGACUGGAUAACGCAUCUAUAGUAUACGAAAGUGAAGCCGAAAGUCACCGGCCGCCACCCGAUUCAAGGGUCCCACUUUUCUUUGAUUUGUAUUACAGAUGGUAGUUUUUCGCGUUUUUCGCCUUGGCUACAUUUCUGACUGCGCCAGUUUUACAAUCACAAAGAAUAGAUAGAAGCAUACAAGAAGAAUUUUGAGAAAAAAAUUUGGAGUAUUAUGGCUUUAAGGCCUGAUUUCACGGGCGCUUUUUCUCGGCGAAAUGUGAAAUAUUUCGCCUGUUUCUUUUGAAUUGCGACCACUCGAAUAAAUUAUUUCUACUUGAUUGCCCACAAUUCAAAAGAAACAGGCGAAAUAUUUCGCAUUUCGCCGAGAAAAAGCGCCCGUGGAAUCAGGCCUUUAUAACGCCGCGGAACGGGAUUAACAAUGUUGAAGGAGUGGAGAGCCUCAGACUUUGUUUAUCAACACGAGCAUUCCCUCGACUUGUCGAGAAUUUUUAUAUGUUUUAAAGUAGGAAGACAAGUGACAAUCAAAUAUUUUUUAAUCCAAAUUAACAAUGACUCAAUAUGUUAUUUUAAUUCAUAUAAUUAUAAAAUUAACGUCAAGGUAUUUUAAAACUAACCUCUGUACGCUUUCGUUCACAAUGUAGCUGCUUCAUUUCUUCAAAUUUCCUGAGAAUAUUCGUCCAGUAACAGUAAUUCUUGUAUACUUUGAGUUGAUUUGUAUGAAAGUAGCAAAACGAGCUCGUGUUGAUAAACAAAGUUUGAGGCCCUCCACUCCUUCAAAAUUGUAAAUCCCGUUUUGUGGCGUUAUAAAGCCAUAAUACUCCAAAUUUUUUGCUCAAAAUUCUUCUUGUAUGCUUCUAUUUUUGUGAUUGUAAAACUGGCGCGGUCAGAAACGUAGCCAAGGCGAAAGACGCGAAAAACUGCCAUCUGUAAUACAAAUCUAUACAAAAGUGGGACCCUUGAAUCGGGUGGCGUCCGGUGGCGUCCGGUGACUUCCGGCUUCACUUUCGUAUACUAUAGAUGCGUUAUCCAGUCUUAGUACAGAUCAGUGAUCUGAACCAGUUAUGUAGUCCCUCCAGAAUAUUUCGAAAUUCUAGAAAAUGGUAUUUUUACCAUUUGAGGACGUAAUCGGACAACACUAGGUUUUGUAAUUGUUGUUGAUGUUGUUGUUAGCAAGUAAUAAACUGUCUUUGAAUGUAAUAAAAUGACACUGAUCCAUUAGAGGACGAGAUAAGACAGUAUUUGCUUAAUAUAUAAAGUGUCUUUGAAUGUAAUAAAAACCAUUUCAAACUAUUUAUCCUAAUUUUUAGGUUAGCCUGC